rnacentral:rRNA from 1 species
ACGCUCGACACCUACGGGGGGCAGCAGUGGGGAAUAUUGCACAAUGGGGGAAACCCUGAUGCAGCAACGCCGCGUGAAGGAAGACGGUUUUCGGAUUGUAAACUUCUGUUCUUAGUGAAGAUAGUGACGGUAGCUAAGGAGCAAGCCACGGCUAACUACGUGCCAGCAGCCGACGGUAAUCUGAGGCGGGCUGGCAAGGC